CCGGCUCCGGUUCACGCCCGCGCGCAACGACGCGGGCGACCCGGCGGCC
rfam:Nakamurella multipartita DSM 44233, complete genome.